rfam:Sorghum bicolor cultivar BTx623 chromosome 6, whole genome shotgun sequence.
UCGUAACACGGGCUGGUGCUAAAGGGUCCUCCCCAACUGCUACUAACAGGUGCUGUCGGGGCAGGGACCCUUUAGCACCGGUUCGUGUUACCAA